rnacentral:rRNA from 1 species
UGUCGUCAGCUCGUGUUGUGAAAUGUUGGGUUAAGUCCCGCAACGAGCGCAACCCUUAUCCUUUGUUGCCAGCGGUCCGGCCGGGAACUCAAAGGAGACUGCCAGUGAUAAACUGGAGGAAGGUGGGGAUGACGUCAAGUCAUCAUGGCCCUUACGACCAGGGCUACACACGUGCUACAAUGGCGCAUACAAAGAGAAGCGACCUCGCGAGAGCAAGCGGACCUCAUAAAGUGCGUCGUAGUCCG